GCCUGAAAGAUGAAUACUGAUAGGACAGGACAAAAAAAUCUUAAUUGUUAUUUUAACACCUGAAAAUCUGAUUACAUGUUUAGACAUCUCAAAAUACAAACCAUAAGCACUUUAUGCAACAAUAACAAUAUAAUCACCAUAACACAAGUAUGUAGUUACAAAAAUUUGUAGCAACAGAUAAAAUUUCAAACAGGUAAGAAUUAUGAUAACAUAAAAUAUUUUUU